GGAAGGGUAGCGAAGAGGCUAAACGCGGCGGACUGUAAAUCCGCUCCUUCGGGUUCGGGGGUUCGAAUCCCUCCACUUCCA
rnacentral:tRNA from 1 species